AGAGUGAACGCUGGCGGCAGGCCUAAUACAUGCAAGUCGAACGGCAGCACGGCAGAGCUUGCUCUGUGGGUGGCGAGUGGCGGACGGGUGAGGAAUACAUGGGAAUCUGCCCAGUCGUGGGGGAUAACGUAGGGAAACUUACGCUAAUACCGCAUGCGCCCUUCGGGGGAAAGCCGGGGACCUUCGGGCCUGGCGCGAUUGGAUGAGCCCAUGUCGGAUUAGCUAGUUGGCGGGGUAACGCCCACCAAGGCGACGAUCCGUAGCUGGUCUGAGAGGAUGAUCAGCCACACUGGAACUGAGACACGGUCCA
rnacentral:rRNA from 1 species